rnacentral:rRNA from 1 species
UACGUAGGCAGCAAGCGUUGCUCGGAGUUACUGGGCGUAAAGGGUGUGUAGGCGGUUGUUUAAGUUUGGUGUGAAAUCUCCCGGCUCAACUGGGAGGGUGCGCCGAAUACUGAAUGACUUGGAGUGCGGGAGAGGAAAGUGGAAUUCCUGGUGUAGCGGUGAAAUGCGUAGAUAUCAGGAGGAACACCGGUGGUGUAGACGGCUUUCUGGACCGUAACUGACGCUGAGACACGAAAGCGUGGGUAGCAAACAGG